UAGGGAAUCUUCCGCAAUGGGCGCAAGCCUGAUGCAGCGACGCCGCGUGAGGGAUGAAGGCCUUCGGGUUGUAAACCUUUUUCGCUCAUGGUCAAGCCGCAGCUUUGGGUUGUGGUGAGGGUAGUGGGUAAAGAAGCGCCGGCUAACUACGUGCCAGCAGCCGCGGUAAUACGUAGGGCGCGAGCGUUGUCCGGAAUUAUUGGGCGUAAAGGGCUUGUAGGCGGUUGGCCGCGUCUGCCGUGAAAUCCUCUGGCUUAACUGGGGGCGUGCGGUGGGUACGGGUUGACUUGAGUGCGGUAGGGGAGACUGGAAUUCCUGGUGUAGCGGUGGAAUGCGCAGAUAUCAGGAGGAACACCGGUGGCGAAGGCGGGUCUCUGGGCCGUUACUGACGCUGAGGAGCGAAAGCGUGGGGAGCGAACAGG
rnacentral:rRNA from 1 species